AAAUAAGUAAGCUAAUUUAAAGCUUUUAGAUUCAUACUCUAAAAAUAGAGGAAUUCCCCCUCUCUUAUUUA
rnacentral:tRNA from 1 species